rnacentral:lncRNA from 1 species
AGUGCUGGGCGCAGCCGCGCCUCGCGCCUCCCGCCCCCCGGGGCUGCGGCGGGGACGCUUCUCUGGAGGGUGUGGCGGAAACUUGAGGCUUGGAGUCCGCGGGACCGGAAGGGGCUCCGUAGCUCGGGGCAGGGUGGGCGCGAGAGAGCCUAGAAGCCCAUGUAGCCGCGAAUCCCGCAGCCCCAGUACACCUCCCUCCGUGCCUCCCCGCCUUUUCUGCAGAGCUCCGCCCUGGAGUGAAGGAGGAGCCGUCACCUGGAGCUCCGAAAAAAGCAGAAGAAGAUAAAACUCUGCAAAGACAAUGUCUAGCACUUAUAUCUCCAGUAACUCCUGUCAAGGUUUAUUGUUGCUUGUUCAUCAUUGCAGUCCUGACUACAAGUGUGAUUGCACUUUCUAUUGUUUUGUCAGAAUUUCCUGAAAAGAUACAAAGGCCCUUCUGACCAUUGGAUUGGCCUUAGAAGAGAAUCAUCCCAUCGCAUUUGGAAAUGGACAGACAACAUGGAAUAUAAUAACAUGCUUGCUAUCAGAGGAAGUGGAGAAUGUGCCUUCCUGAAUGACAAUGGAGUCAACAGUGGCAGAAUCUACAUGAACAGAAAAUGGAUUUGUAGCAAGCCAAACAAUUAUGUCUACAGUUGCCAGUUAUGUCCCCACUGGGAUACUACCUAGUAGAGCUGUGAGAAGAGGGCCACCAUCCUCCAGACUCCAGAAUGGUGGAAUCAGCAGCAGCUUCCACCAUGCCCCUGGAAAAACUGCAAGUAACAGACCUGCACAUGUAUCCCCUACAUCUAAAAUAAAAGUUGGAAAAAAUGGAACUUUGAUGUUAAGAUGCACUGAUACAAAACUUAAAUUUUGGUCUCCUACAUUAAAACAAUAUGAGUCUCUUAAAAUAUUGAUUUGUUCUUAGUAAGAUUACAAGAGGCUUUGAUUUUUAAUUCUGCAAUGUUUCCUUAACAGCCAUUCUGAAUUACAAACUAAUUCCUAUUUCUGCCACAUUCCUUCCUGAGAACUGUCUAGUCCUGGUUUGGGAUUUAUCUUAAAGGUCUAGAAAGGCAACAUUUUACUUCAGCAAAACUUGAUUCUAUAUUGUUGUUUUUUCUUAAUGUGUCAAAAUUGUUUUGUUACUAGGAUUUCCUAUGUUGUUAUUAAAUGUAUUCCCCUGAUCAAGGUCACUGGCCUAGAAAACAAAGAUUCUGUGUUUUACCAAGAUAAUUCCCAGUGCUUCAUGGUGUCUUUAUUAGGCUUUGACUGCUUAGGGAAACUGAGCCUUAAAAGGGUAAAAGUUUUUCCAUCCAUGUAACUUUCUGAGGUCUUUAGGUUGUCACUCUGAUUAAAUGAGUAGUAUUCUUAGCAGUGACUUAUUAUCUGUUGAAGGAAGUAUUUUAAGCUUUUUGACAUCUUUGGCAGGUUUCUCUAGAAUCCAAAUCCUAAAUUAAGCCUUUUGGCCUAAAAAUGACUGGGAUUUUUCCAGGUGGACCCCCUAGAUAUGCUCCUCCAAAGGCUUGUCUUUCUUGUAGAGUUAUUAAAUGAUUAGGCUUAUUUGGCAAAUACUGCUAGAAGCAUUGUCAAAUAAGAAAUGGUGUUUUACCUUUCUUUAAGCUGUGUUUGUGUAAGUUCAUCAUUUAUAGAAAUGUGAAAUUUUAUGAGAUUCCUAAGAUACUGACAUGCUGAGAUACCUGUAAUAAUUGCAAUUUUUAUGUUGGAUGAUUGUAUGCCACAGAAGCACUUAAAUUUCCUGGUUAAUUGGUAACGUUAAUCAGAUCUUUACCUAUGGCUGUUCUGGGUUUUUGUCAUUCACAGUUAUUAUUUUAAUUUCUUCUUUGGAAGCGUUCGCAAUCAGCUAUAGUCCAAAAUUGCUAAUUAAGAUCAAGCAAAACAAAAUUAAUUACGUAAAAUUAAUUUAUAAGGAUGUUUUUAUGACGUAAAUGUUUUAUUUUCCAGAGCCAAGGAAAUUUUCUGUCACAAGCUAUCUACCGUUUGCAAUAAUUUGAUAAAUAAUCCUUUGUGAACAA